GACGUCCGAAUUUCAGUUUGAACCUGCCGAUCUCAUAAAAAAAGCCGGAGGACAUAAUCGUCACCAACCUACGAAAACUUACAAAGGAUUGAUGCAUACAAAUGAAUCCGUCAAAGUCAUCUUGGGCCCAACGAUACCCCGAUGAGUUUAACCAAUUACUGUGAGUACCACUAGUGGCUGAAACCACAAUGUCUAUACACCAAUGCAGGCGUAAGUUUGUUGAAGUAGAUAUAUAAAUACUGAUUUGAAAGAAUAUUACCCCCCUCAAAUGCUCAAAUAAUUAAGUUUUUUUUUUUGCUGAUCCAAGAAGAAGGAAGUCUGUAUAUUUUUGUUUAUUUGUAAAUGUAAGGAAUCGGAUUAUAUCUGUAAUUUAUGUAAAAAAA